rnacentral:rRNA from 1 species
UACGUAGGGGGCAAGCGUUGUCCGGAAUCAUUGGGCGUAAAGGGCGCGUAGGUGGCCCGGUCAGUCCGUGGUGAAAGCGCGGGGCUCAACCCUGCGUCGGCCAUGGAUACUGCCGCGGCUGGAGCACUGUAGAGGCAGGCGGAAUUCCAGGUGUAGCGGUGAAAUGCGUAGAUAUCUGGAGGAAUACCGGUGGCGAAGGCGGCAUCCUGGACCAUAACUGACGCUGAGGCGCGAAAGCUAGGGGAGCAAACGGG